AUGGCUGUCGUCAGCUCGUGUCGUGAGAUGUUCGGUUAAGUCCGGCAACGAGCGCAACCCACAUCCCUAGUUGCCAGCAGUUCGGCUGGGCACUCUAUGGAAACUGCCCGUGAUAAGCGGGAGGAAGGUGUGGAUGACGUCAAGUCCUCAUGGCCCUUACGGGUUGGGCUACACACGUGCUACAAUGGUGGUGACAGUGGGUUAAUCCCCAAAAGCCAUCUCAGUUCGGAUUGGGGUCUGCAACUCGACCCCAUGAAGUCGGAAUCGCUAGUAAUCGCGUAACAGCAUGACGCGGUGAAUACGUUCCCGGGCCUUGUACACACCGCCCGUGGGGCGGGGGCGGCGGGCCGGGCGCGGGGCGCGGCGGGCG
rnacentral:rRNA from 1 species